GACACGGCAGAGACAAUGUAGCCUUCCAGAGAAGUAACAUGUCCGGACCCUUUUCUCUGGAGACAUGGAAGCAUGAUUGCAUGGCAACGUGUACACAGACGUGCAUGAGACUCUCUCCACCGUCAGCUCAAGAUGGAAGCAGCAAUUCAGACACUCUUCGGUAGGCGAGUGACCUGUGACCUGACCAUGAGACACUGCUCAGUGAUACAAAGGAGCAGCUACCGAUGCCUGGAAGGACAGGCUGAGCCUGUGUAUGUGAAAUCAAGAAAAAGCAAACCUAAUCUUUAGUGAUAGAAAUUAGCUUAAUGGUUGGUUGGAUGGAUGAAGGAGCCAACCACAGACAGAAUACCGAGGGUGUUCUUGGGGACAGCAUAAAUGUAUGCAGUGAUUGUGGUGAUGGGGAUAUUUACAUUCAUCAAAGACACAUACCUUUAUCAAA